AGUACAUAGUACACCCACAUUUUCAAAAGCUAUGAAAGGAUACAGUUGUCUCCCUCUCAAUUCCAUCCCCCCAGCCACCACUGCCCCUUCCCCUCCCAAGGUAAUCAGGGUUACCAGGUUCUCAUGUCUCUUUCCAGAGAUAACUUAUGAAUUCACAAUUAUGUACUUACCAUUUUUCUCCUUUUUAUAUACAAAUGGCAGUGUAUUAUACUCACUGUCCUCAACCUUAUUUUUCCUACCUAAUAACAUAAACUGAAGGUUAUCCCACAUCACUACAUAAAUGGUUUCCAAGUUCUCCUUAUUUAUUCAUUGUUGUCUACCCAGGAGUAGGCUGUAUGAAUAUACCACAAUUUAGGGAACCAGAACCCUGAUAUGGUGUCAUUUAGACAGCUUCCAAUCUUUUGUUUUCACAAACGCUGCAUUAAUGAAUACUUCUGUAUGUUCAUCAUUUUGUACAUGUGUGAGUAUGUACAUUCCUAGAAGUGGAAUUGCUGGCCCAAAAACCAAAUGCAUUUGUGGUUUUGAUUACUUUUGAAUAAUUCCUCUUUGAAUGAGAAGAGUUUUUCCUGGACUUGCUAUUUGCUGGAGGUUCAUGUGGGAAAAGAAACCAGGGCCACAUUCUAAGCAGAUCAGUUUUUUUUUUUUGACAACUGAGAAUUUUUUCCCCCCACAGCUGUUCGUUCUUUCUGACUUUACUUCUCCCAAGUCAGUAAAUAGGGGCAGCUGUAGGGCUCUUCACAAGGAAAAGUCCCUUCUCUUCCCCCAGCAUGCCAUAACUGUUGCUCCCAUCAGUAGACUACUUUCUACAAAUAUGGCUUGUCUGAGUGACUCCUUCUCGAGGCCCCAGCCUGUUUCUCCUCAGACCCCAAAUGGUCUAGGAAACAUCCUACCUCCUACCUACCCACGCACGGUUACCACUGUUAUAUCUAUGGUUCCACGCCUCGGGGUAUAUCCCGAACCUCAGCUAAGAGUCCUUACCAGUGCUGUCUUGCAUCUGCAGCCUUGAGCACGCUCACUCUGAAAUCUCCUGCACCAGUGCUUCAUUUCCUCUGCCUGUGGCAGCCCUCUCAUUAGGGUUGCAGCUGUCUCCUAAUUUUGUCAGAUACAGAGAUUACACUUCUGCUUUUUCUCCCGUAGCUUUUGGGUUAUGACUGAGAUGAAAAGAAGAAAGGCUGAAUUUACUCCCAUAUUUAAACCACAAGUCAAAAUAUACUUUUAAAAUGUGAGUAAAAUUGACACAACUUUCUUUCAGUGUCCAUAAUAGAUACUGCUGAUUAGCUCUCUAAUGUGCCAUGAACUUUGACUUCCGAGUGUGGCCUCUUCCAUGGGCUUUCUUUCCUGCAUGGGUUCGCUGAUGUACAAUAAGGUUUGAUUUUUGGGUAAAGGCUUUCCCACAUUCUGUACAUUUAUAGGGUUUCUCUCCAGUAUGAGUUCUUUGAUGUACAGUGAAUGUUGACUUUUCUCGGAAGGCUUUGCCACACUCAGUGCAUGCAUAGGGUUUCUCUCCCGUGUGCGUUCUCUGAUGUAUUAUGAGCUGUGACUUCUGGCUAAAAGCUUUCCAACACACAGGACAUUCAUAAGGUUUCUCGUUUCUCUCCCGUAUGAGUUCUCUG
rnacentral:lncRNA from 1 species